UUCCUUUCUGAACACCUUUGACAGAUGGU
rnacentral:piRNA from 1 species